UUUGGGUGGAUGAGUGGCGAACGGGUGAGUAACACGUGAGUAACCUGCCCCCUUCUUUGGGAUAACGCCCGGAAACGGGUGCUAAUACUGGAUAUUCACUGAUCUUCGCACGGGGGUUGGUGGAAAGGUUUUUUCUGGUGGGGGAUGGGCUCGCGGCCUAUCAGCUUGUUGGUGGGGUGAUGGCCUACCAAGGCUUUGACGGGUAGCCGGCCUGAGAGGGUGACCGGUCACAUUGGGACUGAGAUACGGCCCAG
rnacentral:rRNA from 1 species